CACCAGCGCACUGGCCAUGAUUCACCUUUUUCGUAGGACCAAGAGCAAUACCAAGUAGUAAGAUGAUGAACAAGAAAGAGAGGUGUGAACUUUAGCACAAAAAGAAAGAAGAGAACUGGGCUAACCUGAAGGACGAGACUUGAUUGCGGUUUUCAAGUACACAUGUGUGGCAACUGGAAGCCAAUGUCAAAGUAAGCUGACGACCAGCAAAGAGAGAUGUGAAAAUGUGGAGCUAGUGGAAAGAAUACUGUGGAAACCCGAUCUUAUAGCCAAGUCAAGUCUUCCUGUGCUAUUUUUUAAGCAUAUUGCCUUUUUGUAUUUAGCCUACGUUUUCAGAAUACCUGAGAACAGAAAUAAGCAGUUACUGACUUCCCAGAACGCGAUCCGAACAUCUCGCUGCGAAGUAGAUAUAUGAAUGGUUGCUAUGUAAGAAUAUUUAUGUGGCCAAUGUAAAUUAUAGUCUGAUUCUAAUUAAAAAAAUUAGUGUGAUGGAUGCUAA